AAUGAAAAUAAGAAGAAAAUAAACUUUUUGCACUUGAUCAGGAAUAAGGACUUACGCAAGAUUACUUUCUUCAUGUACAUCUUAUGGUUAGUAAUGAUAUUUGACGCCUACGCAUUAUCAUUAAAUGCAGAUAUCACAGGAGGAAACAUUUUUCUUUUUUUCGUCAUAUAUUCCUCAUUACAAUAUUGUGUUUCUGGUGCGUUGAACAUUAUUUUACCUCGCUUUGAAAGAAGACGUAUUUUGAUGUUUGAAUAUCUUUCAGUGGGCAUCACUUCGUUGCUGAUAACAGCUGUUCCAGACGAGUGAAAAGGUGAACUGGAGCAUUCCCUUUAUUAUAAUCGGUGUAUUGACUCUUUCGUCUGGUUUGUGCAUUUUGCGUUUACCCGAGACCAAAAAUAUUCGUUUGCAUGAUAUUAUUGUCAAUAAUACAGCAGAAAAUGAAGAGGAAUAAAAAAAACCAUAGAAAAGAAGAAUGAAAUUAAUUACUACUUCAAAAUGAGGAAAUCACUUAAUGUUAAAAAUAUAUAAUAAUUAUUGC